GACGAACGCUGGCGGCGUGCCUAAUACAUGCAAGUCGAACGCUUCUUUCCUCCCGAGUGCUUGCACUCAAUUGGAAAGAGGAGUGGCGGACGGGUGAGUAACACGUGGGUAACCUACCCAUCAGAGGGGGAUAACACUUGGAAACAGGUGCUAAUACCGCAUAACAGUUUAUGCCGCAUGGCAUAAGAGUGAAAGGCGCUUUCGGGUGUCGCUGAUGGAUGGACCCGCGGUGCAUUAGCUAGUUGGUGAGGUAACGGCUCACCAAGGCCACGAUGCAUAGCCGACCUGAGAGGGUGAUCGGCCACACUGGGACUGAGACACGGCCCAGACUCCUACGGGAGGCAGCAGUAGGGAAUCUUCGGCAAUGGACGAAAGUCUGACCGAGCAACGCCGCGUGAGUGAAGAAGGUUUUCGGAUCGUAAAACUCUGUUGUUAGAGAAGAACAAGGACGUUA
rnacentral:rRNA from 1 species